rnacentral:rRNA from 1 species
CCCUUAGAUGUUCUGGGCCGCACGCGCGCUACACUGAUGCAUUCAACGAGUCUAAAACCUGCUCUGAUAGGGGUGGGCAAUCUUUUGAAUGUGCAUCGUGAUUGGGAUAGAUGAUUGAAAUUUUUCAUCUUCAACGAGGAAUGCCUAGUAAACGCAAGUCAUCAGCUUGCAUUGAUUACGUCCCUGCCCUUUGUACACACCGCCCGUCGCUCCUACCGAUUGAAUGAUCCGAUGAAUAUCAUGGAUUGAGGAUGCAAGUAGGUUCACCUAUCUUCAUCUUCGAGAAGUGAAGUAAAUCUUAUCAUUUAGAGGAAGGAGAAGUCGUAACA